UACGUAGGGUCCGAGCGUUGUCCGGAGUUACUGGGCGUAAAGCGCGCGCAGGCGGCUCGUUAAGUCUGACGUGAAAGCCCCCGGCUCAACCGGGGAGGGUCGUUGGAGACUGGUGAGCUUGAGGGCGGUAGGGGCUGGUGGAAUUCCCGGUGUAGUGGUGAAAUGCGUAGAGAUCGGGAGGAACACCUGUGGCGAAGGCGGCCAGCUGGGCCGACCCUGACGCUGAGGCGCGAAGGCGUGGGGAGCGAACGGG
rnacentral:rRNA from 1 species